rnacentral:rRNA from 1 species
GACGAACGCUGGCGGCGUGCUUAACACAUGCAAGUCGAACGGAAAGGCCAGUGCUUGCCCUGGUGCUCGAGUGGCGAACGGGUGAGUAACACGUGGGUGAUCUGCCUUGCACUCUGGGAUAAGCUUGGGAAACUGGGUCUAAUACCGGAUAGGAACCGUCUUUAGUGUGGUGGUUGGAAAGUUUUUUCGGUGCAAGAUGAGCUCGCGGCCUAUCAGCUUGUUGGUGGGGUAAUGGCCUACCAAGGCGUCGACGGGUAGCCGGCCUGAGAGGGUGUACGGCCACAUUGGGACUGAGAUACGGCCCAGACUCCUACGGGAGGCAGCAGUGGGGAAUAUUGCACAAUGGGCGGAAGCCUGAUGCAGCGACGCCGCGUGGGGGAUGACGGCCUUCGGGUUGUAAACUCCUUUCGACAGGGACGAAGCGUUAUGUGACGGUACCUGUAUAAGAAGCACCGGCUAACUACGUG